GACGUCGAAUAUUGGACGUCAUAAACACCAAAGUUGAUCGUGUUUAUGACGUCGAAGAUCGACGUCAUAAACACCUAAGUUGAUCGUGUUUAUGACGUCGAAUAUCGACGUC
rnacentral:miRNA from 1 species